rnacentral:rRNA from 1 species
AUGCAUGCCCUUAUCGGUAUGGUUCCUCCGGAGCCUCGGGAACCAGAAGCAGAAGACAAGAAGAAGGAAAGAGUCGCCGCCGGUACUCCUUUCACGUGGAUUACAUUGCACUUUGGUACUUGCCCUGAGGAAGCUAAUGAGGACACGGUCAAGACAUAUGCUCGUGUCUACAUGUGGUACGUGAUAUCCAGGACUAUGUUUGCUGAUGGCACAUGCAAGAAUGCUCCAUGGAUGUGGCUGAAGGCGUUGACCGUCUUCGAUAGCAAAUGGAGUUGGGGUUCGGCUGUCGGGGGGAUGGACCCCGGGCAGGCAACGGUACCCGGAUCCUCUUCAAAAACAACGGGGCUGGCACCGCCCCUCAAUACCAGCACGCGCUUGGCCGGGUCGCUCGACUCGGCCAAGCCCCGCAAGACGGCCAGACUUGCCGACCCGGCAAGACACGUUGACUCGGCCUCAACAACUGGCGCAAGACAGCCGAAUCCGGCACGACCAAAGCCUCCUCAACAAGCCAGCGCCACCCAUGGCGUGCAACGCAAUCCAGCCACGGGUCAACUCCCGUCCCAUCCAGGCCGUAUGAUGGGGACGAGACUUAUAUCAAUGAUGACUGAGGCAACAGUGCCCCGCCCAUGCCUCUGGUCAGCAGGAACGAGGCAACAGUGCCCCUCACCUACCCGCUGA